GAGUUUGAUCCUGGCUCAGAUUGAACGCUGGCGGAAUGCUUUACACAUGCAAGUCGAACGGCAGCAUGGAGAGCUUGCUCUCUGAUGGCGAGUGGCGAACGGGUGAGUAAUAUAUCGGAACGCGCCUAGUAAUGGGGAACAACUAACCGAAAGGUUAGCUAAUACCGCAUACGACCUACGGGUGAAAGCAGGGGAUCUUCGGACCUUGCGUUACUAGAGCGGCCGAUAUCUGAUUAGGUAGUUGGUAGGGUAAAGGCCUACCAAGCCGACGAUCAGUAGCUGGUCUGAGAGGACGAUCAGCCACACUGGAACUGAGACACGGUCCAGACUCCUACGGGAGGCAGCAGUGGGGAAUUUUGGACAAUGGGGGCAACCCUGAUCCAGCCAUUCCGCGUGAGUGAAGAAGGCCUUCGGGUUGUAAAGCUCUUUCACAAGAGAAGAAAUCUUACUAUCAAAUAAAUAGUAAGGAUGACGGUAUCUUGACAAGAAGCACCGGCUAACUAUGUGCCAGCAGCCGCGGUAAUACAUAGGGUGCGAGCGUUAAUCGGAAUUACUGGGCGUAAAGGGUGCGCAGGCGGCUUUGUAAGUCAGAUGUGAAAUCCCCGAGCUCAACUUGGGAACUGCGUUUGAAACUAUAAGACUAGAGUGUGUCAGAGGGGGGUAGAAUUCCCACGUGUAGCAGUGAAAU
rnacentral:rRNA from 1 species